AUGCAUCAUCCUCUUCAUCAGCAAAUUUUUCUGGAACUUCGAACUGGAAAAGAGAUUGGGAUAGGGAGCAUGCGUGAUGGGUUAUAUUACUUGGAUAGUAAUAUAUUUCCUGCAGUGGCUGCUACAGUGUCUCCCUCGUCACUAGAAGAAUUCCUACUUCAACAUCGUCGGUUGGGACAUCUUUCUUUUGCUAUUUUGGGUCAGAUUUACCCUAAUCUAUAUUGUAAAAUUAGUAAAGAACAAUUAAUGUGUGAUGCUUGUCAGUAUGGAAAGCAAGUUAGGAGCUCGUAUUUAUCAUCUGAUAAUAGAAGUGUGUGCCUUUGCAGACUAUACAUUCAGAUGUGUGGGGCCCUAGCAGAGUGA
rnacentral:rRNA from 1 species